rnacentral:ribozyme from 1 species
GCUGCUCGGAUAAUCACACACCGCUACGAGGUGAGCAGCAGGCAACGAUCUAUGAUUGGCAGAGAUGUGAAG